rnacentral:pre_miRNA from 9 species
UCUCGAUAGCGUAAAAGUUAACUCGUAUUUGUAUGGAGUUGGAACGUUUGCCGCUAGGGGCGCUGUUCCAACUGCAUACAAAUAUGAGUUACUUUUACGCUAUCGA